GGUUACUACCCUGUUUGCUGCCUGGCUCCAUGUCAUUUGGCCGCAUGCUCCUGCUAUGUUCCUGCCCAUGUCCGACACCUGGCUGUGUUCCUGUACCCGGUCGUGCUCUAAAUCGGUGCUUUGCAGAUCCUGAUGAGCUGUGCUAAUCAUCCUGACUGAGACUACCACUCCAUAUUGUUUAGUUUGCGUUGUGCACUGAACAACCUCUUUAAAGCAAAUGAAUGCCUGGUUCAGGGAAACAGAAGCACUGAGCCAGGGAUGAUUUCUAUGGGAAAGACAAACUGACCGAGUACACAAAAUUAAAGGCAGCAAGACCUAAGUCAGUGGCACUAUGUAGGAAAUAGAUACAGUUAAACACAGACAUACUGAGCCAGGGGUACCUUUUUAAUAGUAAAGAGAAACAAAGAUUACACAGGGUUAAUAGCAGAAAUAUAUCCAUUAAUGGGUUUGUCUUGGAAAAAGAAAAGUGUAUAUACAGAAGCAUCAAAUCAGGAUUUCCUUUUAUGGAAAUAUUUCUUAGAUAAUUCCAAACAUUCCAGAAGCCCAAAUCUACUUUCUUUCUGAUAUUACACCUGGUUUGCUCACAUUUUGUUGAACUGUGCUCUGCAUAUUUCUUCAGCCUAAAAAGUUAACCGCAUACCACGCAUACAACAUCUGAGGGCCCAUAAUGGUCCAUAGAAUCAAGAGAACUGAGAUGAAUAAAAUUCAGACCUCUUACAAUAGUUUUUACAGCAGGAAAUAAUACAUUUUUAAGAGAAGGUGCCCAGUGUCAAAUGUCUCAUGUGUUCUUUUUACUUUAACUAUAUUAAGCCUAACCCUUGGGCUAACAGCAAUUUUCAUUGUCUUGUGGUUUGCUUCUGAAAUACCAAACAUUAGAAACUUUGUUUUUAGUAUUUUUUUUUUUUAUCAGAGAUUACUUAUCUUUCAUUCACUAAUUUUACUACAUUUAUGAUUAACUGUGUUCCUCUUUGUUGUGUGAGUCCUUGUGUUUCUAUAUUUAGGCCUUCUUUUGAUCUUAAUUGUAGUUUUGCUUCCGUUUGGAAACUUAAUUCAACUUACCUUAAUUUUUUCCCUUGCUACCAUUUGCCUGUAUUCUCAUUCCUUAAAAAAGUUUAUUUAAUGGACAGUUAUUUUAGUUUUUCUUGAACAUCUUAACUACCUUCAGUUAUUUAUUAAUUCUAGCUAGUAGGUUUUGUAGAUUGAUUUCGCCUGCCUGUUUCCCAUGAGCAGAUCUUGGUUCAGACUAUAAACGUGUAUUGUUUAUUGUAGUUCUGAAAUUAAACUUUCCACUUUCAUGUUGAGAAACUUUA